rnacentral:rRNA from 1 species
CAUGCAAGUCGAGCGAUGAAAUUUUGACAGAUCCCUUCGGGGUGAAGAUAAAAUGGAUUAGCGGCGGACGGGUGAGUAACACGUGAGUAACCUGCCUUAGACAUUGGGAUAGCCUCGGGAAACCGGGAUUAAUACCGAAUAAAAUCACAGAUACACAUGUAUCCAUGAUCAAAACUCCGGUGGUCUAAGAUGGACUCGCGUCCCAUUAGCUAGUUGGUGAGGUAACGGCCCACCAAGGCGACGAUGGGUAGCCGGCCUGAGAGGGUGAACGGCCACAUUGGAACUGAGAAACGGUCCAAACUCCUACGGGAGGCAGCAGUGGGGAAUAUUGCACAAUGGAGGGAACUCUGAUGCAGCGACGCCGCGUGAACGAAGAAGGCUUUCGAGUCGUAAAGUUCUUUUAUAUGGGAAGAUAAUGACGGUACCAUAAGAAAAAGCCCCGGCUAACUACGUGCCAGCAGCCGCGGUAAUACGUAGGGGGCUAGCGUUGUCCGGAAUCACUGGGCGUAAAGGGUUCGCAGGCGGAAAUGCAAGUCAGAUGUAAAAGGCAGUAGCUUAACUACUGUAAGCAUUUGAAACUGCAUAUCUUGAGAAGAGUAGAGGUAAGUGGAAUUUUUAGUGUAGCGGUGAAAUGCGUAGAUAUUAAAAAGAAUACCGGUGGCGAAGGCGACUUACUGGGCUCAUUCUGACGCUGAGGAACGAAAGCGUGGGUAGCAAACAGGAUUAGAUACCCUGGUAGUCCACGCUGUAAACGAUGAGUGCUAGGUGUCGGCUUAAGUCGGUGCCGCAGUUAACACAAUAAGCACUCCGCCUGGGGAGUACGUGCGCAAGCAUGAAACUCAA